CCUACGUGUGGCAGCAGUGGGGAAUAUUGCACAAUGUGGGAAACCCUGAUGCAGCGACGCCGCGUGAGUGAAGAAGUAAUUCGUUACGUAAAGCUCUAUCAGAAGGGAAGAAAAUGAAGGUAACGGAGUAAGAAGCCCCGGCUAACUACGUGCCAGCAGCCGCGGUAAUACGUAGGGGGACAGCGUUGUCCGGAUAUACUGGGUGUAAAGGGAGCGUAGACGGUGCGCCAAGUCUGGAGUGAAAUGCCGCAGCUUAACUGCGGAACUGCUUUGGAAACGGGCGAACUAGAGUGCGGGAGGGGUAAGCGGAAUUGCUAGUGUAGCGGUGAAACGCGUAGAUAUUAGGAGGAACACCGGUGGCGAAGGCGGCUUACUGGACCGUAACUGACGUUGAGGCUCGAAAGCGUGGGGAGCAAACAGGAUUAGAUACCCCGGUAGUC
rnacentral:rRNA from 1 species